rnacentral:lncRNA from 10 species
GAAAGGAGGAAGUGAGAAGAAAGAAACAGGGAAAUGCAGGCUGAGGAAUUACCAAGGAGGCAGGAGGUGGAGCAAAACACACCAAGCCUGGUGCCAAUCAUUGACAAUAUUAUGACCCUGCAUGUGAUGGAUCAGCUGACACCAUCCAGAUCGGUAAACUGGUUCAUCUGAUCUUGUGCCCUCCACCCAGGAACUGACUCAGCGCAAGAAGACAGCUUCGACUCCUUGUGAUUUCAUCCCUAACCAAUCAGCACUCCUGGCUCACUGGCUUCCCCCAACCCACCAAAUUGUCCUUAAAAACUCUGCUCUCCAAACGCUGGGGGAGACUGAUUUGAGUAAUAAUAAAACCCUGGUCUCCU